UCAUUUGGAUUCGCUAUCAUACGUCCAACCGUGCAUUUGAUAUGCAUAUAUAUGCAUCACGAGCCACGGUUGGGCUGUAUGAUGGCGAUACCGAUUGG
rfam:Triticum aestivum genome assembly, contig: Triticum_aestivum_CS42_TGACv1_scaffold_194293_3AL